GUCUACGGCCAUGUCACCCUGAACAAGCCCAAUCCUGUCUGAUCUCAGAAGCUAAUAAGUAGGGUCGGGCCUGGUUAGUACUUGGAUGGGAGACCACGUAGGAAGAACAGAUGCUGUAGGUG
rnacentral:rRNA from 1 species